rnacentral:lncRNA from 1 species
UGUUAUCUUUCUAUCAGACAGUGCUGGGCUCCUGGCUGAUCAACAAAACACCGGGAAGCAGGAGAUCAGAGCCUAUCCAAUGAAACUAGGCAGCACCCUGGGAAAAACUCCAACAAUGCCAGAGAAGGAAGGCAAAAAAGGACAGUUCUGAUCUACAGGGAUGGAGAGGAAGGGCAUCGCAGAUAAGGCAUCCUGGCCCAUGGGGCAGAGACAGCAUCCCCGGUACAACCACUUUCUGGAGCUCAGGAUACAAGAUGCAGGGAGAGCAUCUUUUUCCUUCGUGGGUGGUCUUGGAGGAUACUUCUCGAGAGAUACGGACCUCAGUCAUCCUCCUACCUGAAAGCUCCUGGGCAUUCCAGGUACUCUUAGUCCUCUCUUCCCACCCACAUCGCUGAGCAUCAGGGCAAAUAAGUGACAAGCAAGUGAGGGUUAGGCACCAUCAUGGAAAAAACCUUGAACUUGGAGAUGUACCUCCAUGGGUUUUCUCCUCUCCUCCUUCCACAUCAUUCCUCACCCUCUUCUGCCUCCCUCCUUGGAGGGUGUCAUAUCCCCUCAUAGUUCCAGCCACCACCUCUUGACUUGGGAUUG